UGGGGAAUUUUGGACAAUGGGGGCAAGCCUGAUCCAGCCAUGCCGCGUGAGUGAAGAAGGCCUUCGGGUUGUAAAGCUCUUUCAGACGGAAAGAAACGGUCRCGGCUAAUACCCGUGRCUAAUGACGGUACCGUAAGAAGAAGCACCGGCUAACUACGUGCCAGCAGCCGCGGUAAUACGUAGGGUGCGAGCGUUAAUCGGAAUUACUGGGCGUAAAGCGUGCGCAGGCGGUUUSGUAAGACAGAUGUGAAAUCCCCGGGCUUAACCUGGGAACUGCAUUUGUGACUGCSAGACUAGAGUGUAGCAGAGGGGGGUAGAAUUCCACGUGUAGCAGUGAAAUGCGUAGAUAUGUGGAGGAAUACCGAUGGCGAAGGCAGCCCCCUGGGCUAACACUGACGCUCAUGCACGAAAGCGUGGGGAGCAAACAGGAUUAGAUACCCUGGUAGUCCACGCCCUAAACGAUGUCAACUAGGUGUUGGGGAAGGAGACUUCUUUAGUACCGCAGCUAACGCGAUAAGUUGACCGCCUGGGGAAGUACGGUCGCAAGAUUA
rnacentral:rRNA from 1 species